UACGUAGGGGGCAAGCGUUGUCCGGAUUUAUUGGGCGUAAAGAGCGUGUAGGCGGCCAUGUAGGUCCGUUGUGAAAACUCGAGGCUCAACCUCGAGACGCCGAUGGAAACCAUGUGGCUAGAGUCCGGAAGAGGAGAAUGGAAUUCCUGGUGUAGCGGUGAAAUGCGCAGAUAUCAGGAAGAACACCCGUGGCUAAGGCGGCUCUCUAGUACGGUACUGACGCUGAGACGCGAAAGCGUGGGGAGCGAACAGG
rnacentral:rRNA from 1 species